rnacentral:lncRNA from 1 species
CUAAUUACAAAAUAUUGGGCUAAGCCCAACAAAACAAAUCUAAAAAAUAGGAAUAUAAUAUGACUUCUUUUGGUCCUUCAAUUGUUCUUCGUAUAGCCUCAACACCGAAUUCAAUCUUCUUGCACCCAAUCUCUACUCUUUUUUUGCUUUAAUUCAUCCAAACUGCACCAUAGCUAAAAACACUCGUUCAACUCGAACAAAGAGAAAUAAAAGCUAAAAAUAAUCCUACAGUCCUAAUUAUGUCCUAAAAUGCAAGUUAAAUGUAAUGCAUAUGUAGUAUAAUUUCUCACUGAUCAAUGUACGUGUAUAUUAUCACAUAGAGAAUAGAGAAUAUACACGCACAUUGAAACUAGAAAGUUCAGGCAGUGAUCCAUCACGUAUAGCCCAUAUACGCAUAUCACAAAUCAGAGGACAUCACACAAAUACAAAAAAAAAACAACUAGCAACAGAAGGCCAACCCUCGAAGAGCAAAGACUAGGAUCAUAUUCACAGGUAAGUUAAUCAUCCCUUUACUUACAUAAUUGCAAGAAAAAACACAUUUGUUAUCCAUUUAGUAUCACAAACAUAAAAAAAUAACAUACAUUCAGUAAGCAUGUUUAUAAGCAGUUUGUUAAUUGACAAAAUAAAUUUUACCUCAUGUCGGCAUCAUCUCCUUUGAAAAUUCCCUACUCGGCUUAGCCUUCACUAACCUUGCAGUGGUUCCAAGGCGUAAUUCCUGAUCCAAUGUCAAUACCGACAUUACUCUUUUUUUGUACCCUUCAAGAGCUUGAACCAACUCAUUCCACCAUAGAGGAGAGUACCGAAAUCCUCCAUAUCCAUGUAUUACCCAUAUGAAAGAACUCAUUGGUUUCAUCAAAGCAGAACACAUUCACUGAAACAUCUUUCAAAAAAAAUCAAUACGUCAAACCACCAUAGCCACCACGCUUGAACCGCGAAGGAUGAGAAGAGAGAAGAUGGCCAUACCUUGCUCAUCACCUUCGCCCAAACGGCUAGCCCCACACUUGAACCGCGAAUCACCAUAGAGGAAAUAUUAAAAAACGAACCGUGAAUCACCCUUGAGCUUGAUCCCUUUCUAGAGAAAGAGGGAAUGAAAUUAGGGAUUUGUUUCCCUUUUCCUUAGAUGGCACGAAGAUAUGGAGUUAUUACCCUAUUUCAUAAAAC